GACAGACUUCAAGCCAAUGUCAUUUGAUGUCAAAUUCCAUAAUGUCCAAGGAAAGAACUAUCGAUGCGCCAUACCAAAAUUGAACAACAAGAUUGUACCAGAGCAAUGUAAAGUGUUAGUUAAACCUAUCAGGGUCAUCAUCACUUUGUUUAAAGCUUCAAAGGGAAACUGGUUAGACUUGCACUUUAAAGAGGACAAGGUAUGGACUCCGUAAAUGGUUCUGGUUCAUUGAUAAUUUUCUUAUUAAAGUUGACU
rnacentral:misc_RNA from 1 species